ACUUUAAUAGUUUAAAUUAAAACAAUAAUUUUGUAAAUUAUAAUUACUUAUUCAAGUUUAAAGAU
rnacentral:tRNA from 1 species